rnacentral:rRNA from 1 species
CACUGGUGUUCCGGUUGUGUCGCCAGACGCAUUGCCGGGUAGCUAAGUGCGGAAGAGAUAAGUGCUGAAAGCAUCUAAGCACGAAACUUGCCAAGAGAUGAGUUCUCCCAAUCUAAGAGAUAGUAAGGGUUGUUGUAGACUACGACGUAGAUAGGUCUGGUGUGUAAGUGUAGUGAUACAUUGAGCUAACAGAUACUAAUUGCCCGAGAGGCUUAACUAUACAACGCUCAAG